rnacentral:rRNA from 1 species
AAUCAACGCUGGCGGCGUGCCUAACACAUGCAAGUCGAACGAGAAAGUGGAGCAAUCCAUGAGUAAAGUGGCGACCGGGUGAGUAACACGUGACUAACCUACCCUAAAGUGGGGAAUAACCUCGGGAAACCGGGGCUAAUACCGCAUAACAUUGCGCGGCUGAAAGGCCAUGCAUUCAAAGGAGCAAUUCGCUUUAGGAGGGGGUCGCGGUUGAUUAGCUAGUUGGUGAGGUAAUGGCNCACCAAGGCGAUGAUCAAUAGCCGGCCUGAGAGGGCGCACGGCCACACUGGAACUGAAACACGGUCCAGACUCCUACGGGAGGCAGCAGUGGGGAAUUUUGCGC